rnacentral:tRNA from 1 species
GCAUGAAUGCCCGAGUGGUCUAAGGGGGGGGACUUAAGAUCCCCUGGACAUACCAGUCCGCGUGGGUUCGAACCCCACUUCAUGCA